ACCAAAAUUCAUAACAGGUGUUGGAUCCAUGAGUGAGCCAAUAAUUUUCCUGCUUCAAUUUGAACUAUUUAAACUGUUCAUCACUGGUUGAAAAACUUUAUGAUCCAUCUCGGCGCGUCCUGACAUUCUCUAGUGGGCUCACACAUCAAAACUCCACUGUCACCCCGGAAUCACCCACACCAUCCAAUUCAUGGAAUGAAAUGUCUGGUGUCAUAGCCUGGUGAAAGACAACCAAGAGUUCGUCCAUGCCUGCUGCAUCUGUGCCCAAAGGAAGACUUCACAUCUGCACCCAGCUGGUCUGCUGUGUCCCUUACCUCUCCCGAGCUGCCCUUGGUCCCCAUCACCUUGGACGUUACCAGCCUAUCACUGCUCUAAAGGUAAUAAUUAUUUUUACGCUUAUCGAUUUUCCAAAUACAUCCAUUAUAUAACCCUCCCCAAGCUACCAUCUGCCUUUAAAACUGCUACCCAACUUGUAAAUCAUGUCUUAAAACUUCACGAAAUCCCCAUUGAGAUAGUCUUGGACCAAGGUCCUUAGUUCUCUUCCCUUGUUGAGAAGUAGUUCUGUAAAGUGACUGGUGCAGCAACCAACUUGUCUUCUGAAUACCAUCCACUAACCGAUGGCCAGAAGGAGCAGGCAAAUCAGUUCCUGGAAACUUUCCUUUACUGCGUUGGCGCACAUAACCACACCUCCUGGAGCUCAUUCCUUCCAAGGGUAGAAUGCCCCUACAGCUCCCUUGCCAGCUCCUCCACUGGUAUGUCUCUCGUCAUAGCCUGCAAUGGUUUCCGACCACUAUGAGUUUGGGAAGAAGAGCAUGCGAUGGCGAUUCCUGAAGUCAGGAUCACACAAAGAGGCUUUUAAUUCAUUUGGAAGGAGAUUAGGAUGGCCUUAUUUCGGUCCGCAGAGGGAAAUAAACAUCUUGGAGACCUUCAUCGCUCCGCUACAUCUGAGUACAACGUGGGUCAGACUUUUGGCAUUCCUCCCAUGACUGACCACUCCAGACAGAAUCCCGCAAACUCACUCUGUGUUGUUUUUUUUUUGGUCCAUUUCCAAUCACUAAAAUCAUCACACCCACAUUAGUUUAAAUGAAAUGUUCGUAAUCUCACCCUGGUUAGCUGGGCUGUAUGCCAGGAGGCAUUUACUGUUAUGAACUGUUGUUGGAGUUUUGACGGGGAUUUGCACCCCUCUCACAAUCUCUCUCUCCUCCGAGUAAUCAGCCCUACCUUGGUUGCACACCUGUUGUCAAUCAGCCUACAUCAUCACCUGCAUUUAAGCCUGCCAGGUCAAAGCUCCACCUUCGGAAUAUUAACAUUCACCAGUGGUACAUCCAUCCAUCCAUCCAUCCAUUUACUGAGCCGCUUGUCCUCACAAGGGUUGCGGGAGUGCUGGAGCCUAUCCCACCUCUCAUCAGGCAGGAGGGCUGUGGAAGGAAACUGGACUACCUGGAGAAAACCCACACAGCACAGGGAGGACAUAGAAACUCCACAAAGGGCUCCUUCUGUGUUUCUCAUCUUGCUGACCUCUCCUACCACACCGUGAAGUAAUCACCUGCUUAUGCCACCACCUGCUGCAUUAUCCCUGUAUUGAUGACCAGCCAGUACACCUAAACGAUCCACCUCCGAAUCCCUUCACAGUAAACCAUUCUCUCCAGACUUCAUCAGCUUUGGCUUGCCUCUGGGUCCAGUCAAAAUUAUUACCAUUGCAUCACAACACGAAUGCUGAUUUGUGUAUAGUUCACUCUAAAAACAAAAGCUACA